rnacentral:lncRNA from 1 species
AGAUUUGAAACUUACCUGAAAUGUUAAAAAAGAAAUUAUUGAUUAUGAAGCUGGCAAUACGUGGUAUAGCAAAUGGAAGAGCCCUUAAGAGGAUUUUACAUGCCCAUUGAUUUGGUUUAUAUAUAGCCGACCUUUUCUCAAUGCAUGUACAUAGAGAACCCCACAAAUUCUCAAAUUAAAAUAUUUAGAAAAUCAUUGAUACGAUUUUACAUAUAUAUGCAUUUUGUUAUGGCCUAUAUAAAUCAUACAAUUUUUGACUUCAAAUCUAUGCUUGCAGCACAUUUGGUAUAUCUACCUUAAAUCAUUGUUGCUAAAGAAAUGGCAAAAUUGGGGUUCUAUGUGAUCCUUACGUUGGUGUUGGUGUUGGUGUCAUUUUCAUGCUGUGAGUCUCGUCCACUUGGUACUACUCAAUAUGGUUCUAUGAACAAUUUAGCAAAAGAUUCAGGUUUAGGUGUUGAGCAUGUUAUGCGAGCAUGGUUAUCAUCAAUGUCUAAGGAAAAACCACGUAGAACGAGUCGACUUAGUCCUGGUGGGCCAGAUCCAAGGCACCAUUGAUCACUAUUUAGUAAUCUUUAGAGGCAAUUUAGACUCGUAAGUUAGGAGAGGGGAAUUGGGGAAUUAAAUCUCCAUUCCCAUUUAUAUGUACUUUUUGUUACUCUAGUCUAAGUUUGUACUUGGAUUUGUGGUGGUUAAUAAAAUUUGCUUUGCUUCUAAAAAAAAUGAUUUGCUUAUUCGAAACAAUAGCUAGUUUUUAAAUUAUAUGAAGGGUUUUUCUAUCAUGUGCAAAUUCGCAUAUGUUAAGAAAUUUAAAAUAGAAAUUUUGUAUUGAAACUUGUACAUUUAAUAUUAAAUAUAAAACUUUUAAAUAAUUUAGUGUUGUUUCCCAAGAAAUAGUUUGGUGGAUACUCCAUCCACCAAUUCUACAUUUCGGUUAGAUUCCAUAUACCUAUGAUUUCUCGUUAUUUGUUUCUUGAAAAUAAUAAAUGUUUAAUAGCAGUUUUAGCCUCCUAACUUUUUCAAAGUUGUCAUUUUGGCC